GACGUAGGGCGCGAGCGUUGUCCGGAUUUAUUGGGCGUAAAGAGCUCGUAGUCGGCUUGUCGCGUCGUCCGUGAAAACCUGCAGCUCAACUCCGAGCCUGCGUUCGAUACUGGACGGCUAGAGUCUGGUAGGGGGAUCUGGAAUUCCUGGUGUAGCGGUGGAAUGCGCAGAUAUCAGGAGGAACACCGGUGGCGAAGGCGGGAUCCUGGGCCAGUACUGACGCUGAGGAGCGAAAGCGUGGGGAGCAAACAGG
rnacentral:rRNA from 1 species